rnacentral:rRNA from 1 species
AGUGAACGCUGGCGGUAGGCCUAACACAUGCAAGUCGAACGGCAGCACAGUAAGAGCUUGCUCUUACGGGUGGCGAGUGGCGGACGGGGGAGGAAUACAUCGGAAUCUACUUUUUCGUGGGGGAUAACGUAGGGAAACUUACGCUAAUACCGCAUACGACCUACGGGUGAAAGCAGGGGAUCUUCGGACCUUGCGCGAUUGAAUGAGCCGAUGUCGGAUUAGCUAGUUGGCGGGGUAAAGGCCCACCAAGGCGACGAUCCGUAGCUGGUCUGAGAGGAUGAUCAGCCACACUGGAACUGAGACACGGUCCAGACUCCUACGGGAGGCAGCAGUGGGGAAUAUUGGGCAAUGGGCGCAAGCCUGAUCCAGCCAUACCGCGUGGGUGAAGAAGGCCUUCGGGUUGUAAAGCCCUUUUGUUGGGAAAGAAAAGCAGCAGGUUAAUACCCCGCUGUUCUGACGGUACCCAAAGAAUAAGCACCGGCUAACUUCGUG